UACGUAGGGUGCGAGCGUUUAAUCGGAAUUACUGGGCGUAAAGCGUACGUAGGCGGCGGAUUAAGUCGAAUGUUAAAGCCUGGGGCUCAACCCCAGAGAUGCACUCGAUACUGGUCUGCUAGAGGGUGAUAGAGGAAAGUGGAAUUCCGAGUGUAGCGGUGAAAUGCGUAGAUAUUCGGAGGAACAUCAGUAGCGAAGGCGACUUUCUGGGUCACACCUGACGCUGAGGUACGAAAGCGUGGGGAGCAAACGGG
rnacentral:rRNA from 1 species